AGAGUUUGAUCAUGGCUCAGAACGAACGCUGGCGGCAUGCCUAACACAUGCAAGUCGAACGCUCCGGUUUCGGCCGGGGAGUGGCGCACGGGUGAGUAGCGCGUGGGAACCUGCCGUGGAGUGGGGGAUAACCGAGGGAAACUUCGGCUAAUACCGCAUACGCCGGGAAACCGGGAAAGAUUUAUCGCUCCAUGAGGGGCCCGCGUCCGAUUAGGUAGUUGGCGGGGUAACGGCCCACCAAGCCGAUGAUCGGUAGCUGGUCUGAGAGGAUGAUCAGCCACACUGGGACUGAGACACGGCCCAGACUCCUACGGGAGGCAGCAGUGGGGAAUAUUGGACAAUGGGCGCAAGCCUGAUCCAGCAAUGCCGCGUGAGUGAUGAAGGCCUUCGGGUUGUAAAGCUCUUUCGGCGGGGACGAUGAUGACGGUACCCGCAGAAGAAGCCCCGGCUAACUUCGUGCCAGCAGCCGCGGUAAUACGAAGGGGGCGAGCGUUGUUCGGAAUCACUGGGCGUAAAGGGCGCGCAGGCGGCCUUGUCAGUCAGGCGUGAAAGCCCCGGGCUCAACCUGGGAAUGGCGCUUGGGACGGCGAGGCUGGAGGUCGGGAGAGGAGCGUGGAAUUCCCAGUGCAGAGGUGAAAUUCGUAGAUAUUGGGAAGAACACCGGUGGCGAAGGCGGCGCUCUGGACCGAUACUGACGCUGAGGCGCGAAAGCGUGGGGAGCAAACAGGAUUAGAUACCCCAGUAGUCC
rnacentral:rRNA from 1 species